UACGUAGGGUGCGAGCGUUGUCCGGAAUUACUGGGCGUAAAGAGCUCGUAGGUGGUUUGUCGCGUUGUUCGUGAAAACUCACAGCUCAACUGUGGGCGUGCGGGCGAUACGGGCAGACUGGAGUACUGCAGGGGAGACUGGAAUUCCUGGUGUAGCGGUGAAAUGCGCAGAUAUCAGGAGGAACACCGGUGGCGAAGGCGGGUCUCUGGGCCGAUACUGACGCUGAGGAGCGAAAGCGUGGGGAGCGAACAGG
rnacentral:rRNA from 1 species